rnacentral:lncRNA from 1 species
GUGAUAGUCAUGAGCUAGGGUAAGCUUGGUGCUACCUCUUUGUUUUUUUGUUUUCUUUGUUCUUGAAGAGUAAUGGAUAAUUUUUGAAUAUUGAAAAGUGAGUCUGUGGAAUAAAUCAGAGAUUGAUUUAUGAAUUAUUGAUUAUGUAAUUGGAGUACUGAGUGAUUGAAUUAUAUGAAGAGUUAUUGAAAGAUUAUAAUUGUUGUUUAUUGAGAGCUGUAUGUGUUUUAGACAAAGGAAGUUGGUGAUUACAAAAAUUUUGUAAAUUCAGAUUGGUUGGAGUGAAGUCUGUUAUUUCUGGUGUUGGAUAGAAAUUAUGUGUUUUGAGCAGUCUUUUGAGAGUGCAGGGUUGUACACUGUUGUUAUCAGUUGAUAGAAGAGUAUUGUUACUAGGAGAAAGCAUUGUAGUAUUUCUUAGUAUUUUAGUGGUUUGAAAUACGGUUGAUUGUGUGACCCUAAGAAGCAAAAUUCAUGCACUUAGUCUUUUUUUAUGUUUGAAUUCCCCUAUACAUGUUUAUU